rnacentral:tRNA from 1 species
GGAGGGCACAGCUCAGGGCAGAGCGCGUGCUUAGCAGGCGCGAGGCCUGGGUUCCAUCCCCAGCACCUCCA